AUUGCUCAUGUCUGGAUGGAUUCACUGUAACAAACUCAAGUCUCUCCAUCAGCAUCAAUAACACAUGUAGAGACGUGAAUGAAUGUGUUGAGAUAUCAGACGUCUGUGGUCCAAACUCAAUCUGUAACAACAAUGUUGGGAGUCACAAUUGCUGGUGCAUGAGUGGAUAUAAUGUAACAGACACAAACCUCCCUAUAAACAACAAUAACACAUGCAAAGAUAUAGAUGAAUGUCUGUUCAGUCCAUCUGUAUGUGGUCCAGAUUCCAUCUGCAUAAAUGAAAUUGGAAGUUAUAAUUGCUCAUGUCUGAAUGGAUUCACUGCAACAAACCCAAGUCUCACCGUCAGCAUCAAUAACACAUGUACAGACAUAGACGAAUGUUUGUUUAGUCCAUCUGUAUGUGGUCCAGAUUCCAUCUGCACAAAUGAAAUUGGAAGUUAUAAUUGCUCAUGUCUGGAUGGAUUAACUGCAACAA